rnacentral:lncRNA from 1 species
UACAUAUAUGAUUUUAGGAUGAAUCUUAUCUCACUGAGUAGAUUAGAUUCGAGAGGCUAUAGAAUGGUAGCCGGUGGAGGAAUCCUGAGGGUGCUACGGGUGAUAGGAUUAUGCUGGAGGGAAAGAAGGAGAGCAAAAGAUAUUAUUACCUGACAGGGAGCCCAGUGCGAGGUGGAGCUUCAGGAGCCAGAUGGAGCCCAGAGCGAGGUGGAGAUCUAGGUGGAGGUGGAUCGAGCACGAGAUAAGAGACUCGGAAGGAUGAGAGGUGACAUCGUAAGGUGAGAUUCUUAUUACUGCAGGAUGAUGCCCCAAGCAGAUCUCUAGUCAGGAGGAGCACAGCAUACGAUGGAGAUGGGAUCGAGUGACCUGGCUCGACUCCCAUAUUUGCCCAUCCUUGAUCUGUAGGUGAUUCUCCCAAGAUAUGGAGGCAAAGAGAUCUAGAAGCUCUCAGAGUUAGGAGG